rnacentral:rRNA from 1 species
CCUACGGGAGGCAGCAGUGAGGAAUAUUGGUCAAUGGGCGCGAGCCUGAACCAGCCAAGUCGCGUGAGGGAAGACGGUCCUAUGGAUUGUAAACCUCUUUUGUCGGGGAGCAAAAGACGCCACGCGUGGCGUUCCGAGAGUACCCGAAGAAAAAGCAUCGGCUAACUCUGUGCCAGCAGCCGCGGUAAUACGGAGGAUGCGAGCGUUAUCCGGAUUUAUUGGGUUGAAAGGGUGAGCAGGCGGAAGAUCAAGUCAGCGGUAAAAUUGAGAGGCUCAACCUCUUCGAGCCGUUGAAACUGGUUGUCUUGAGUGAGCGAGAAGUAUGCGGAAUGCGUGGUGUAGCGGUGAAAUGCAUAGAUAUCACGAAGAACUCCGAUUGCGAAGGCAGCAUACCGGCGCUCAACUGACGCUCAUGCACGAAAGUGUGGGUAUCGAACAGGAUUAGAUACCCGUGUAGUC